UAUGAGAAAUGGCAAACCAAUAAUUUUUGUCAAGAGUUCUUUUUUUUUUUUUUACCAGCUGAAAUACUUGUGGAUUGCCACAGUUUAAAAGCCAGAGAUAAAGCACAUUCAGGGUACUGAAUGAAAACGCCAUCUGGGGUUUUUUUUUUUUUUUCAUUUUCUUUUUUCCUUCCUUUUUUCAAGUCUUGUAAUCAAAUUUCAGCAAAAAAAAAAUCAAAUGGGGGGUUUUCAAUGAAAGUACCUUUUGUUGAUCUGAAACGAGCAAGUAAUUUACAAAAUGCCCUUCCUUUGUGUGGGAGGCUAAAGGAAAAAAGAAAUCAGUAGCUUUUAAAGCUAGGCCUUGCUGCGACUGGAAAGAUAAUGAAAGCCGUCUGUGUUGUGGGGUAGAGAGCGUUUGAAAGGCAGGCCGGACUCAGGGUUACAGCGCUGAAAAACCUGUGUGUUUGUUUUGUGAGCAGGACUAAGAGCUUCCAAUCCACAGAGAAAAGAUCUGAGAGGAAAAACAUCGCGAAGACUGCCGACUCUGAUAACCCUCUCGCUUAAAGUUUACCUGCUCUCCUCCGGAGAACACUUGGCGACAAAACGCGGCAAAUAAAUAAAAAAAUAAAUAAAAAAAUAAAUAAAAAUAAAAAAACAACAAACAAAAAAAAGAGAAGCAGGAGCAGCAGAAGAGAUCCGUUGGACUGAGGACUGCUUCCUUGCGUUGCAGGAUGCGUGACGAUCCCGUUCGUUCCAUUGGUAGGUCCAGGACUACUACGGACUUCUCGGGAAAAGGGUAGCGAGCUAAGGCUAACGUUCAGCGAGGACUAGGUGAGUGCACGUUGGAGGGAGAGCACCGAAUCCCGGACAGGCAGUCGGAGGAUUACGGCGCAGGGAACAACAGAGCUUCUGGGAGGAUGCUACUCUCCCAGCCCCACGAGAACAGGAUCAAGGGCGGCUGAAGUGUUGCUCUCGAGCCGGGCGGAUGUAGCAUCCUUCUCUGCCAAUCAAUCUGCGGAGAGGACAGCAGCCGAACUGGCACG